rnacentral:rRNA from 1 species
UACGGGGGGAGCAAGCGUUGUUCGGAUUACUGGCGUAAAGGGCGCGUAGGCGGUCAGCACAAGUCAGUUGUGAAAUCUCCGGGCUUAACUCGGAAAGGUCAACUGAUACUGUGCGACUAGAGUGCAGAAGGGGCAACUGGAAUUCUCGGUGUAGCGGUGAAAUGCGUAGAUAUCGAGAGGAACACCUGCGGCGAAGGCGGGUUGCUGGGCUGACACUGACGCUGAUGCGCGAAAGCCAGGGGAGCGAACGGG